rnacentral:rRNA from 1 species
GACGGAGGAUGCAAGUGUUAUCCGGAAUCACUGGGCGUAAAGCGUCUGUAGGUGGUUUAAAAAGUCCACUGUUAAAAAUUGAAGCUUAACUUCAAAGAUGCAAUGGAAACUUUUAAACUUGAGUAUGGUAGGGGUAGAGGGAAUUUCCAGUGGAGCGGUGAAAUGCGUAGAUAUUGGAAAGACCACCAAUGGCGAAGGCACUCUACUGGGCCAUUACUGACACUGAGAGACGAAAGCUAGGGGGAGCAAAUGGG